GGGAUAGUAGCUCAAAUGGUUAGAGCAAGCGACUCAUAAUCGCUAGGUUUUCAGUUCAAAUCUGAACUAUCCCACCA
rnacentral:tRNA from 1 species